UGACCUCAAAUGAUCUGCCUGCCUUGGCCUCCCAAAAUGCAGGGAUUACAGGCAUGAGCCACUUCGCCUAGCCAAGGUAAGAUUUUCAAAAACCUUUAGAACCCUUUACAGUUUUCUGUUAAACAGCAGAUCAGUUUUCUAAGAAAACCCUAUUAUUUGGCCAUAUGGGCCCAAAUUCUGGCCCUGUGUUAGUGUGCUUUCAUUUUAAUGUUCAACCUGAGAAAAAAAUAUAUAUAAUCCUUUUCAAAUCUUAGACAACUUGAUAAUACGCACAGAACGUUCUUUACAAGACCAACCCUUCACAAACCCCUUUCACCUUGCUUAAACCUUGUUUUUUCCCGUUACUAUUUUAGGUUAAGACAAUCUUUAAAUUCCUCUGAAGUAGACAAAAUUAUACUCCUUUUAACAAAAGCCAUAGUCCUAUGCCUUCAUAUAAUCUUUUACCAAAAACACAUUCUACAUUCCUUACACAACCAUGUAUGUAAAACUCUUUCUCCAGUAGUCUCAAUUCCAUGUUACAGUGUUAACUCAUAGUAACUUUCAUUUUUGGUGAAAAUCUGAUAAGUAAGUGAUGUUAAUUAUGUACUAGGUGUGGAACCUAGGACAUCAGACAGAAGUGUAAAUAAUGUUUGACUCUCUUCAGCAUAGCUGGGGGCAAGGCUCUCCAUAUGUCCCUAGGCUUUAUCUAUAAUUUAAUGCUCUAAAGUAGAUAAAUUGAAUAAUUUCAAAGUCAAAAAAAAAAAAAAAGUUUAUGACCUUAUAACAUUUAGCAAAUCUGAUACCUGAUCUUAAUUUAGACCAAAUGUCUAAAUUUUGAAGACAUUUUAAAUAUACCAGUAAUUUUUAAAACUGUCUUUAUUUCCAGAAAAAUACUAAAGUCAUGUGAACAAAAGGCAUUAAAGUUGCUGUUUUUUCUAACAAAAUAUUUAAGUGCUUAUUUUUCUAAUCCAAUUAUUCAGAGCUCUUUUUAUAUAAAAAUCACAUUCACAACACAUACAAAUUCACAGACAGACAGAAGAUCCAGAAGUUGUAAGAUUUUUUGUUUGCUAGUUUCUUAAUUGGAUUACUGGCUUCAGUGUGGGAGCCCUUUGAGGAACAGGGCCAGGAAAACAUGCAGUUUCUAGGAUCUAAUAAUCAGUCACAGCUGGAAGGCAAAGACAGUUCCCCAAAAUUAAGGUUCACAUUUUUAUUUAAGAU